UGGGAGCAGGGAGGCUGCAGGGCUUGCACAGGCUCCUUGCUGAGCCCAGGUGAGGCUGAGUGGUGUGGAGCUGGGGCCUGCUGCCCUGCUCUGCCAGGCUCCGUUGGGCAGUGUCGGUGCCCACUGGGGGCUGGGGUUUGCUCUGUCCCUGCCUCAGCAGCUCCUGGAAGCAGAAGCAUUGUAAAGCAAGGUCUGGGCUUGCUGAGGUGUUCCUGCAGCAGAGCUGAGGCCCUUCCUUGCUGUGGUCCUUGCCUGUCUUUCACUGUGCAGCCCAGGGCUGGCUGCUGCCUCUGUUUCCAACCUGUUGCAGUUGUGAGAGGAGCAAACUGUGAAUCCCAGGGGCUCUGAGGAGCCCCAGGGCCAGGCCAGCAGAGGAGCUGUGCUUGUGGCCAGGAGGCUCCAUUUGACCUGGAGCUGUUGAAGCUGCUGGAAGGGAGGUCAGCCCUGGCAGGGAUGGAUCUGUGGGAUCCAUCUGGGAGCUGCUUUGCUCAGCAGGUUCCACCUGUGAAGAUGUGGGGUCAGGCUAUGAGCUCUGCUCUCCAGGUCCAGGUUCUCCUCCCUGUCCUGCAUUUGUACUUGAAAAGUUGCCCUUGGAUAGCUCUGUGAGGCCUCCCAAGGCCAUGUCCAGCUGCCCCUUAGCUGCUGCUCCAGAGGCAUUGCCCUGCUUGCCCUCAUGCUGGGACCAGAGCCUCUCACCUCUGCUGCUGGUGAGCUGCCUGGAGGUCAGCCCUUGCCACCCUGCCCUGCCAGCCCCGGGAGGGAGGGAGAGAGGGAAGGUGCAGCAAGGUGUGCAGCCUCUGCCCAGCCCUGCCUCUGCUGGGGCAGGCUGCCUUUGCAGGCAGCGUUUUGGCAGCUUUGAUGUCCUUGAAGCACUUUACACCAGGAGCAAGCUCAGGGUGCCCCAGGAGCUAAGGAUCCUGCCAGCCUGCAGCCAGGGCUCCAGCGGGUCCAAAUCCCUUGUGGGGGUGGAAGCAGCUUGGCCAAAUCUCUGCCUGAGAGCUCUGAGGGGAAAGGAGACUUGGUUGUGGUCAGAAAAUUGGGUUUCAGUGCCUGCCAGUCUGAUCUUCUCCUCACUUGCAGCCUCUGUUCCUCCUCAUCCUGCACCUCCAGCAGGGCAGCUCCAGGGUGCUGAGUCCUGCCUGGACGUUUCACUGCCGUGCUCUGAAGCUUGCUGGCUUUGAUGUUUCCUUUGCCCCACACCUGUCUGAAGGAAAUAAGGCCUGGAUGGCCUCGGUGCAGUGUUUGCAGUCAGUUUUCUGUCCAGAGCCAUUGCUUUAACCUCUCUUCCAAGCCGUGGGCAAUGCUCUUUGCUGCCCUGGCUGCUCCUGCCGCCGCUGUGGCUGCAGCGCUGCCCCUGGCAAAGGAGCUGCUCCUUCCCCAGCGCCACCCCCCCAGCCCGGAUGCACCUCCAGCCCUUCCCAAAGGGCUCCAUCAGAGUUUCUGCACGCCAGAAGACAAAAAGCAGUCAGCUCGGUCCCUCUGUGCCUCCCAGCUGCGAUGCGGCAGUGCCCGGAGCGGGACCAGCCCACGCUGGCGACCUGCGCCCGCCGCAGCCUCCCCAUCUCUGCUCUCCCUUUUGCACUGCUCAGCCCUGGGGCAGCGUUGGCAGCACAGCCCCUGGCACAGCCCCUGGCACAGCCCCAGCCUGCAGCGCAGGCUCCGCACGGAGCACGCAGGAGGGGCGGCGGCGGCGGCAGCAGACCCCCGGGGCUGCGGCGAGGCUCUGCCGGGGCUGCGGCGUCGCUGAACUCUCCGUCCCUCCCAAGUGCUGCAUCUGCUCCCUUAACUCAGCUUCCACCAAAGACUCCUGCGUUGGGCAGUUGAACCUUCGUGGGGUUUGUGGGGUUGGUUUGUCUGCUGGGGCCACAUGGAAGCCUUUCAGCACGCCCAGGGGCUCCAGAGUGCUGCUCCAGCAGUGGCUGAGCAGCAAAAGCAUCUUCCAGGUCUGAAACACAUUCCUCAGAGCCGUGUCCCAGGUCUGAACCUGUUACAGAGAACCAUGUCCCAGGUCUGAACCUGUUACAGAGAAUCAUGCUCUAGGUCUGAACCCUGUUACAGAGAAUCAUGUCCCAGGUCUGAACCUGUUACAGAGAAUCAUGCUCUAGGUCUGAACCCUGUUACAGAGAAUCAUGUCCCAGGUCUGAACCUGUUACAGAGAAUCAUGCUCUAGGUCUGAACCCUGUUACAGAGAAUCAUGUCUCAGAUCUGAACCUGUUACAGAGAAUCAUGUCCCAGGUCUGAACCCUGUUUCAGAGAAUCAUGUCCCAGGUCUGAACCUGUUACAGAGAAUCAUGUCCCAGGUCUGAACCCUGUUACAGAGAAUCAUGUCUCAGAUCUGAACCUGUUACAGAGAAUCAUGUCCCAGGUCUGAACCUGUUACAGAGAAUCAUGUCCCAGAUCUGAACCUGUUACAGGGAACCAUGCUCUAGGUCUGGAACUGGCUACAGAGAAUCAAGUUCCAGGUCUGACUCCUGUAACAAAGAAUCAUAUCCCAGCUCUGGAACUGGUUAUGGAGAAUCAUGACCCAGGUCUGAACCUGUUACAGAGAAUCAUGUCCCAGGUCUGGAACUGGCCACAGAGAAUCAUGUUCUAAGUCUGAAACUGGUUGCAGAGAAUCAAGUUCCAGGUCUGAACCUGUUACAGAGAAUCAUGUCCCAGGUCUAAACCUGUUAGAGAAAAUCAUGUCCCAGGUCUGAAUCUGUUACAGAGAAUCAUGUCCCAGCUCUGGAACUGGUCACAGAGAAUCAUGUCCCAGGUCUGGAACUGGUCACAGAGAAUCAUGUCCCAGGUCUGACUCCUGUUGCAGAGAAUCAUGUCCCAGAUCUGAACCCUGUUACUGGAAGUCAGGUCCCAGGUCUGACCCCCAUUCCUCAAAGUCAGGUCCCAGGUCUGACCCCAUUGCUGCUCCCUCGCAGCUGCCAGUGCUGCUGGCACUGUGUCACUGUGGGUGAGCACACUGCUGCCCAGCUGGCCACGCUGCCCUGUGCAGUCGGAGCGGGGGUGGUGAUCCAUAUUCCCUGAUCCCUCUGCUCCAGAGGGAGACAGAAUCGCUCCCGGGAUGCCGAGGGCAGGGCUCGUUGAGGGCUGGGAGCUGUGCUGCAGGAUGCAGCUGCUGGAGCAUCGCUGCGAGCCGGCUCCAGCGGCCAAGGAGCCUCCCCUGCGGCUAACACUGUGGCUUGUGUCCCAGGAGCAGGUCAUUCCUGGUGGCCUUAGGCGUUCCUGUGCCCCGCAGGGCUGGCAGAGCUGACCUCUGCCCCGGCCGUGCCCUGCGGUGUCGCUCUCCUCGCCAGCUGUAGCCUCCUGUACCUUGCAUUAAAGCUGUUCCUGGUUACCACC